AGUGAACGCUGGCGGUAGGCCUAACACAUGCAAGUCGAACGGCAGCACAGUAAGAGCUUGCUCUUACGGGUGGCGAGUGGCGGACGGGUGAGGAAUACAUCGGAAUCUACUUUUUCGUGGGGGAUAACGUAGGGAAACUUACGCUAAUACCGCAUACGACCUACGGGUGAAAGCAGGGGAUCUUCGGACCUUGCGCGAUUGAAUGAGCCGAUGUCGGAUUAGCUAGUUGGCGGGGUAAAGGCCCACCAAGGCGACGAUCCGUAGCUGGUCUGAGAGGAUGAACAGACCCACUGGGAAUUGAACAACGUCCAGACUCCUAAGGGAGGCAGGAGUGGGGAAUAUUGGGCAAUGGGCGGAAGGCUGAUCCAGCCAUACCGCGUGGGGGAAGAAGGCCUUCGGGUUGUAAAGCCCUUUUGUUGGGAAAGAAAAGCAGCAGGUUAAUACCCCGCUGUUCUGACGGUACCCAAAGAAUAAGCACCGGCUAACUUCGUG
rnacentral:rRNA from 1 species